AAUACUGACUGCAAAAAAAUGGAUGCUGUCGAUCGAGGGGAGGGUCGUAAUCCCACCUGGUGCUCACAUGGCAGACUUCACCACUGCCUUGGCCGCUCUCUUCGCCUGUUACUAUGUAUUCAACCUAGAGUAUCAGGUGGAAGCCAGCACAACACUGGAGUUUGUUCAGAGGUUUUUAGUCAGGAUUAAUCCUGACUCCAACAAGUGCACUGCCAAGGAGCAGAUGAGCAAGACGACUGGGAGAGUGGUGAAGCGGAAGACUUCAUACAUGAACCCCCAUGUCAUCUCCUUCAUCAGGGACUUCACGGAGUUCUAUUUGCUAACUGACUAGAUACAGGGCUCCAACUAGGAUUCUAGGUCUCCAAGGUCAGGGCAUGCAAGAGGCCAUAGUGGCAGGGGAAGUUUAUUUUCCUUUCUGUUUUAAAUGUUGAUGCAAAUGUUAAAUAUUUAAUUUUUUUUUAAUGUUCAAUAUUUUAUUUUAUUUCAGUAUUGCCAUAGUGUUAUUUAUUACUCUUUAGAAUGUGGUAAUAAUCAGUUAUUUGCACAGCUUCAAAGUAGUUAAAUUUUUUGACCAUGUUGUAUCAAUUUGCGUUAUUGUUCUGCCAUAGCAACCAGUCAUGUGGAACUAGUGAAUGAACUAGUAACAGUUUGCUCUGUAA